GUUUCCGAGGAUCGGAUUCCCGGGCUAUGGUGAUAAUGCUGGAGACUGUACGCCAUCAAACGACCCUCGUUGCUAUCAAAACAUCGGCUCGUCUUUUUUUACUGACCGCUUGCGCGACGGCACGCUGGAAGUCAGUGAUUUCGUUACUUAUGUAACCGGAAG
rnacentral:misc_RNA from 1 species